AUACACACAAGCAAGCUCAUAGGACUGUCCUGCUACCAGAAACAAUACAUAUUGUUAUUUAUCUAAACAAAUCACCCAAUACAUUAUAAUUAACAAUGUGUAUAUAUGAGAAGCAAAUUGUAGCACGAGAAGAAAGGAUAGAAGAAAAAGGAAAAAGGGAGCAGAAAACAAGUUUGAGAACUUAAAUAAUCACUCCAAUUUCAGAAACACUUUUAGGUUAUGAUCCCUUAGAUUCAGGCAAUUCAAAAUUCCCCUCCAAAAGAAAAUUAGAACUUUUGUAAUCAGUGCAGAACUUAAUGAAACUCUUUUCUUUAUACCAGUGUUGCAAGGAUCCAUUUCAAUUAUUCCACGCGCAACAAAAAUGAUGCAUUAUAUGACAAAAUCAUAUUACACACAAUAGGACAAGGGAAAAGAGAUUCCCGAAGCCUGAUUAAGCAUCCACUUCAAUCCCACUGCAGCUACACAAUCAUUUUUCGCUGCACUACUGACCCAUUCCAAGGCAUAUACAGUAUCAAAAGUUGCUUGGAUGGUUGACAUAUUGAUUCUUCUUUGUUUCACAGAAAAAA
rnacentral:misc_RNA from 1 species